GUCACACACGUUGUUCUGAAGAUGCUUUAAUGUUCUCCACGUGUAGUUGAUGGACGACUGAAGAUUAUCCUUGGAAUCGAGCAUCUCUUCCUAGAAGCCGAAAGAAAGAGAAGUUACAGUGUCUAUACAGAGAGUAUAAGAGUUGUCCCAGGACCCAGAUUGUCACCAGAUGGGUUUUAGGAUAGCUGACCUGACUUUGACGUGGCCAUCUCCAAAGCAUUUUUCUGACUGAGAGCCAGCCCUCAACAUCAACGUAAUUUGGAUACACUCAAGAAUCCACAGGCUUCACUCUGGAGACGAAGGGACUUAAACCACAUAUGGAAAGAGAGCAACUGUUGCUUCAAGUAAACAGAUGGAACUGUGACCUGAGUAUUUUGCCAAAGGGAAAUAAGAAAAGAAAGUAAAAGACUUGGGGUUGGGAGCCAGAAGAGAAUAAGCAUAGACAGCAGCACAAAGGUCAAUGGACUCAAGUUGAACAAGGUAGUGGGACGGGCAGGUGAGGAGAUUCACCCCAUCCUUGUCUGUACUUUCUACACAUUUCUCUCUCAUAACAGUGGUUCCCAGCAGCAUCAUUAUCUGGAGACCCUUUAAAAAUUUCAGAUUCCUGGGCCCCACCCACAGCUUGGUGAACCUGAGAAAGUCAAGUUGUUUUUAAGUUGAGCAUCACUGAGUAAUCAGAGCACAUAGGAGCUUGGGAAGCCGUUGCAUUUUCUGAAUAUGAAAAAGAAUGCUAUCUUGUUAUGUUGUGAAGCAGGUGAAGCUAUGUGCUAGGGACCUGC
rnacentral:lncRNA from 1 species